GAAGACUGGGACAACCGAGGGAAACUUCGGCUAAUACCGGAUGUGGUCCAAAGAGUUUCGGCUCGUUGGACUAAACGAAUUUUGCUUCGGGAUGGGCCCGCGGCCUAUCAGGUAGUUGGUGAGGUAAUGGCUCACCAAGCCUACGACGGGAAGCUGGUCUGAGAGGACGACCAGCCCGACUGGGACUGAGACACGGCCCAGACUCCUACGGGAGGCAGCAGUCGGGAAUCUUGGGCAAUGGGCGAAAGCCUGACCCAGCGACGCCGCGUGGAGGACGAAGCCUUUCGGGGUGUAAACUCCUUUUAUUAAGGAAGAAAUUAGACGGUACUUAAAGAAUAAGCCCCGGCUAACUACGUGCCAGCAGCCGCGGUAAUACGUAGGGGGCGAGAGUUGUCCGGAUUUACUGGGCGUAAAGCGCGCGUAGGUGGAUUUGUAAGUCAGAGGUGAAAUCCCAAAGCUUAACUUUGGAGCUGCCUUUGAUACUGCGAGACUCGAGUUUGGAAGAGGGUAAUGGAAUAUCUGGUGUAGCAGUGAAAUGCGUAGAUAUCAGAUAGAACACCAAUGGCGAAGGCAGUUGCCUGGUCCAAAACUGACACUAAAGCACGAAAGUGUGGGGAGCAAACAGGAUUAGAUACCCUGGUAGUCCACACCCUAAACGAUGAAUACUAGAUGUUGGUCCUUUUAAGGAUCAGUAUCCAAGCUAACGCAUUAAGUAUUCCACCUGGGAAGUACAAUCGCAAGGUUGAAACUCAAAGGAAUUGACGGGGGCCCGCACAAGCAGUGGAGCAUGUGGUUUAAUUCGACGCAACGCGAAGAACCUUAC
rnacentral:rRNA from 1 species